rnacentral:rRNA from 1 species
CCUACGGGUGGCAGCAGUGAGGAAUAUUGGUCAAUGGACGAGAGUCUGACCAGCCAAGUAGCGUGAAGGAGGACAGGCCUAUGGGUUGGAAACUUCUUUUAUAGGGGAAUAAAAUGUUCCACGGGUGGGAUUUUGUAGGUACCAUAGGAAUAAGGAGCGGCUAACGCCGUGCCAGCAGCCGCGGUAAUACGGAGGAUCCGAGCGUUAUCCGGAUUUAUUGGGGUUAAAGGGUGCGUAGGCUGUGAGGUAAGUCAGCGGUGAAAUGCCCCCGCUCAACGGGGUGAAGUGCCAUUGAUACUGCUUUGCUGGACUGCGGAUGCCGUGGGAGGAAUGUGUGGUGUAGCGGUGAAAUGCAUAGAUAUCACACAGAACACCGAUUGCGAAGGCAUCUCACGAAUCCGCGAUUGACGCUGAUGCACGAAAGCGUGGGUAUCAAACAGGAUUAGAUACCCCUGUAGUC